rnacentral:rRNA from 1 species
UAGGGUUUGAUUCUGGCUCAGGAUGAACGCUGGCGGUAUGCUUAACACAUGCAAGUCGAACGAAAGCUUUAUGCUUUAGUGGCGAACGGGUGCGUAAUACGUGAGAAUCUGCCCUUAGGAGGAGAAUAACUUCUGGAAACGGUUGCUAAGUCUCCAUAUGCCGGGAGGUAAAAUAGUUUACACUGCCUAGGGAUGAGCUCACGCCUGAUUAGCUUGUUGGUAAGGUAAUGGCUUACCAAGGCCACGAUCAGUAGCUGGUUUGAGAGAACGAUCAGCCACACUGGGACUGAGACACGGCCCAGACUCCUCCGGGAGGCAGCAGUGAGGAAUUUUCCGCAAUGGGCGAAAGCCUGACGGAGCAAUACCGCGUGAGGGAUGAAGGAUUUUGGUCUGUAAACCUCUUUUCUCAAGAAAGAAGUUCUGACGGUACUUGAGGAAUAAGCAUCGGCUAACUCCGUGCCAGCCGCCGCGGUAAUACA